rnacentral:piRNA from 1 species
UGGAAAGGCUGCAUCAUGGAGAGUCCA